UCAGGAUGAACGCUGGCGGCGUGCUUAACACAUGCAAGUCGAACGAAGCCAAAAGGAAGCUUGCUUCUUUGAAGCUUAGUGGCGGACGGGUGAGUAACGCGUGAGUAACCUGCCCUUCAGUGGGGAAUAACACAGAGAAAUCUGUGCUAAUACCGCAUAACGUCUUCUUGCCGCAUGACAGGAAGACCAAAGGAUUUAUUCGCUGAAGGAUGGACUCGCGUCCGAUUAGCUAGUUGGUGAGGUAACGGCCCACCAAGGCGACGAUCGGUAGCCGAACUGAGAGGUUGAUCGGCCACAUUGGGACUGAGACACGGCCCAGACUCCUACGGGAGGCAGCAGUGGGGAAUAUUGGGCAAUGGGCGAAAGACCCUGACCCAGCAACGCCGCGUGAAGGAAGACGGUCUUCGGAUUGUAAACUUCUUUGAUUGGGGAAGAAACAAAUGACCUACCCAAAGAACAAGUCACGGCUAACUACGUGCCAGCCGCAGC
rnacentral:rRNA from 1 species